AGUAAAAAAAACUUAAAUGCUGUUCCUUUUUUUUAAUUUGGAGAGUAUUGUAUCAUGUGCUCAUUCUAUAAGGAAAUCGGAAAAAAUUCAAAAGAUAAGACCAUUUAAUAAUGAUUAAGAAAAAAACACACUUUAGCUGUUAUCUAUGAGUGUCUUUGUUUAUGAAAUAGAAUUAUAUUAUUAUAAGAUCUGUGAUAUGUGUUUGUUUAUUAACUAAAAUGUGUUCAAGAGGGAUAUAAUAAAUUAUUUACAUAGGUAAACAAAUGUGUUUAUUUGUAUAAAAAUAAGGAGAUGUGGUAUAAUUGCCAAUGGGACAACUCAACUGGAGUGGAUGUCAGCAAUUAUAAAGGUGAUAGUACGGUCUUCAUCUUACUUUUUUUUUGUCCCACUGUAGCUGUGUCCCAUGGACACAUUCCUCGUGUAUUUCACCUUUGUUUGUCUGUUGUUGCUAGAAGACAACUGUGCAAUUUUCGUUUCUUAUAGGGUCUUGCAAUUUUGAGGAAAAAAAUACACCAUUCUUUUCAUAUAUUGUAUUUGUUUACAAAAUUACACCAUACCCCACACGCUUAUCCAUUUUCAAAUAAACAACUGUAGAAGUUCAUACAAAACGUAACAUGAUUGUGUUUAUUCAAUUUCUAAGUUUUUAACACAAAAUAUAGUUGCAUGUCAUCUUUCUAUCAUAUGUGAAAUAAAUUACUUCAAAAGUCAAAACUGUUUCAAAAGUGAUCAAAAACAGACCUAUUGGUGACCUUCUGUUAUUGUCUGUUCUGUGUUCAGAUUGUUGUCUCUGACACAUUCCCCAUUUCCAUUCUCAAUUCUAUUUAUACCCACUUCAAGGAAAAUUCAAAAAUAAAAGGAUAUUUCAAAAGGCUAACUGAAAAGUUCAAACACAUCAAAUGAAUGGAUAACAAAUGUCAUAUACCUUACUUGGAACAAGCAUUUCCUUAUGUAGGAAAUGAUGGAUUAAACAUGUUUUAUAGCUAGGGAAAC
rnacentral:lncRNA from 1 species